GAUGAACGCUGACAGAAUGCUUAACACAUGCAAGUCAACUGUGGCGGACGGGCGAGUAACGCGUAGAGAACUUGCUUCACGGAUAGGGACUACCUUUGGAAACGAAUGCUAAUCCCUGAUACUGUGAGAGCGCUUUGCGUCCCAUUAGCCAGUUGGAGAGGUAACGGCUCACCAAGGCGAUGAUGGGUAGCCGGCCUGUGAGGGUGAUCGGCCACAGGCGGACUGGGACACGGCCCUUACUCCUACGGGAGGCAGGAGUGGGGAAUAGUGGACAAUGGACCAAAGUCUGAUCCAGCAAUUCUGGGUGCACGAUGAAGUUUUCGGAAGGUAAAGUGCUUGCAGUUGGGAAGCGGUACCAACAGAAGAAGUGACGGCUAAAUACGUGCCAGCAGCCGCGGUAAUUC
rnacentral:rRNA from 1 species